ACCGCUGCCCGCGGAGCCGUUCGAGGCGUGGUGGCCGACACUUGUCGGUGGUGUCCGGAGACAGGACGAGGAGCAAGGGCCGUGGGCUAAAACACGAGAAGUUCGCCAACCCGAGGAGAAUUUUUCGAGUAGGGGUGGCAGAGCAGCUGGAACAGCUGCCCAGGGAGGUGGUGGAGUCUCCCUCCCCGGAGACACUCAGACCCCACCUGGGCGCGUUCCUGUGUCACCUGCUCCAGGUGACUCUGCCUUGGCAGGUGGUUGGGCUGGUGAUCUCCAGAGGUCCCUUCCGACCCCAAUGGUUCUGUGAUUCCCGUGAGGAGUUUCCCUGACACCCAACCUGAACUUCCCCCGAGGCGGCUUGACAGCAUCCCCUCGUGUUCUGGGGCUGGAGGCCGGAGAGAAGGGAUGAGCUCCAGCCGGAGAGAAGGGAUGAGCGCCUCCCUGUCCAUGCCCCUCUGUGGGAAGGAGCUCCCGAAGCUCCGUGGGUGCUGCAGUGCUCGGCAGUGCUCCGUCCGUACAGCACAGGGACCUACCGGGAGAAUGUGCUUGGAUCACAGUGGGGCAGCUGCACGGUGGAAAAUACCUCUGUAGUUCCUAAGCGAGCCAAAACUACAUCCUCAUUACAAAGUAAUCCAACCUGCUGAAUUUUACCUAUGGAUUUGUGAGCACUCCCUUCAGUGGCUGGUGUCCGAGCUGUCCCUACUCUGGUGGCACAGGGAGCCACAGCAGCCAGAGGCUGCAGGUCUGCUGCCAGCCUUUGGGAUCAGAGCCAGCUGGCAAAACCCUCGGCAGCCCGAAAACCACUGCCUGAAACCAGCCAUAACUGAGCAGGCGGAGCACCCAGGAUAAAGCAAACUCUGCUCCUUUAUUUGCCCUUUUUUUCCUGUAUGUUAGGGAGGUUUCUGCAUCAGAUUGCUGGGAUCAAGAGCUGUUUCUAGAACAUUCCCUGGUGCUUCUGAAAGAGAUGCUCCUCAGUUUCACAAGCAUUUUAGCCUGAUAGAAGUUGGCACAGCCUUUGAAAAGUAUGGUGCCAGUCUCCUCAGUGCCUUCAGCUGCUGCUGCUGCUUUGUUUCUCACCAGCAGCGUUGGGUGUCUGUGCUUGACUGGGGAACUGGUGCUGCUGAACACUGACUGCAGAGGAAAUCACUGAACAAAUGCCAAGAGCGAUGGUAGAAAAGUGUGUGGGAUAAAGACAUCAAAUGUUUGGGGAGAACGAGACCACUGCUUUCAGUACCUGCACCAAGGAGCAGAACACUGUGUGCCUUGUAUGGAUCUGGAAGUGUUUUGCUCCCUCCCCUUAACUCAUCAAUGCUGCUAUCUUGCAACAAGGGUUUUAUUCUUGUGCGUGGUUUCAGACCUGAUCUCCUUUCACAUGCACCGUCAGCAGUUUAAAACUCACUCAGGAGAAUUCUUUAUGAACUUGUGACUUGGCACGUGAAAUUUGGGCUGGCAGUGUGUUGAUGCUUUAAAAGGAAGUGGGAUUUUUCAUCAUACCUAAGCAUAUAAGAUCUCAUAUUGUUUCAAGAGAAUGUUUCUCUUUUUUGGCCAUAUCAUUUAGACAAUUUCAGUUUCUUAUAUAGAGCUCUAUGUUUAAUAAAUAUAAGCUGUGUGUUUUUCAUAUCACCAAAAAAUAAAUACAAUGAACAA